UCGCGCUCUGAGACGCUUUUCUGUGCUUCCGCUGAGAUAACAUUUUUAAUUAGAAUUGCAACUGAAUUCGCUCAGCGUUAAAUGUCUGCAGCAGACGCUGUGUUCGCUUUGGUGCUGCAAUACAAUUUGCAGGUUUAUUAGACGGCCCUGUCGGGAUGUGUUUGAACAGCAGAUAGGUUAUCAAUGCGCCGAAGGACCGAACAAACACACAACAGUCUGGAAAAGCUGAUUUUCUGAGCGUAUGAGGUUUUUUAUCAGUCAGCGCCAGGAGCGGAGACGUUUGGAGAGCAAUAUAAGUCUCCUGCGGUGCAGUCAGCAGGACCGUCUGCGUGGAAACAUCUGCCCUCACCUGAACUCAUUUACUGAGGAAACACACACACGCACCGAGCUGAUUGUGUCCCGUCGGCAGCAGAUUUCCAGGCCACAUUCGGGGUUUUGCUGCUUUUCUUCCAGCUGGAAAAGAGCAUUUUGGUUCCUGCCGGCUAAAUAACAAGCCACUAAAUGAAGAUGACUGCUGACGUCAGCUGGAAACAACACUGUUAACAAACUAAUGGAGAGUAAGAGUCGAGAAGCUGAAGUCAAACCCUGAGUUUGCACUUCUGCUACGAUCAAGCUCCGUUCAUCCGGCUGAAUUCACGCUCACAGCCACCGAGGGAGUAUGUCUGUGUUUUUAAACUUUUCUCAGACGCGUCUUAAGCAGGUCUAUGUGACAGGAUAAGCUGAAGUGCACAGUAAAGAUCAAACGCUCUCUCUGAGAUCUGAGAUAAA